GCACAAGCGGUGGAGCAUGUGGCUUAAUUCGACGCAACGCGAAGAACCUUACCAAGGCUUGACAUACACCGGAAACGGCCAGAGAUGGUCGCCCCCUUGUGGUCGGUGUACAGGUGGUGCAUGGCUGUCGUCAGCUCGUGUCGUGAGAUGUUGGGUUAAGUCCCGCAACGAGCGCAACCCUUGUUCUGUGUUGCCAGCAUGCCCUUCGGGGUGAUGGGGACUCACAGGAGACUGCCGGGGUCAACUCGGAGGAAGGUGGGGACGACGUCAAGUCAUCAUGCCCCUUAUGUCUUGGGCUGCACACGUGCUACAAUGGCAGGUACAAUGAGCUGCGAAACCGUGAGGUGGAGCGAAUCUCAAAAAGCCUGUCUCAGUUCGGAUUGGGGUCUGCAACUCGACCCCAUGAAGUCGGAGUUGCUAGUAAUCGCAGAUCAGCAUUGCUGCGGUGAAUACGUUCCCGGGC
rnacentral:rRNA from 1 species